rnacentral:lncRNA from 1 species
UUAAUUAUUUAGAAAUGAUUUAUUAAAAACAAGAAGUGAGGAAACCAUCAUGCUAAGCAGGCAAUUCUGGACAAGAGACUUCUUUCAAGCAAACUGAACAUUGAUUAAGCUCAAAAAGCCUCAUCUUCAAGAUUAUGUGGGAUUUUAUUAACUGAUUUUUCUAAGCCUCUGGCUUCUUUCUUCCUCACUGCAGAGAAAAAGAAGUUUCAGAGUUGGCAGGGACCUUGGCAGUCACCUAGUCUAACUGCUGUCUCUUCCUCCCCUCCACUGCUGCCAUUUUACUAGAAGUCACAGCACUCCUCAUGGAAGCAGUUGGGGACUUAUAUUCUCUCUAUAGGUGCCAUCUAAAAUUAUUCAUUUUAGUCUAAAGUCCUUCCUUAACCAAGGUGAGUACCAUAUAGCCCUGCUUGAAAAUAUAGGAUUCCCUUACAGUACAGCUUAAGUGGCAAUAGGUUGUGUUAUGGUUAAAUGCUUCUCUGGCCUUU